rnacentral:rRNA from 1 species
CCUACGGGUGGCAGCAGUGGGGGAUAUUGCACAAUGGGGGAAACCCUGAUGCAGCGACGCCGCGUGGGUGAAGAAGCGCCUCGGCGCGUAAGCCCUGUCAGCCGGGGAGGAAAUGACGGUAACUGGAGAAGAAGCCCCGGCUAACUACGGGCCAGCAGGCGCGGGAAUACGUAGGGGGCAAGCCUUAACCGGAUUUACUGGGUGUAAAGGGGGGGCAGGCGGCGAUGCAAGCCAGGAGUGAAAGCCCGGGGCCCAACCCCGGGACUGCUCUUGGAACUGCGUGGCUAGAGUGCAGGAGGGGCAGGCGGAAUUCCUGGUGUAGCGGUGAAAUGCGUAGAUAUCAGGAGGAACACCGGUGGCGAAGGCGGCCUGCUGGACUGCAACUGACGUUGAGGCCCGAAAGCGUGGGGAGCAAACAGGAUUAGAUACCCUUGUAGUC